rnacentral:rRNA from 1 species
UACAGAGGUCUCAAGCGUUGUUCGGAAUUACUGGGCGUAAAGGGUGCGCAGGCCGCGCGGGCAGUCAAAUGUGUAAUUCAGGGGCUCAACCCCUGCACUGCGCUUGAUACUUCCGCGCUCGAGCUUUGGAGAGGAGUCUGGAAUUCUCGGUGUAGCAGUGAAAUGCGUGGAUAUCGAGAAGAACACGUAGGGCGUAGGCAAGACUCUGGACAAAUGCUGACGCUCAUGCACGAAGGCUAGGGUAGCGAACGGG